CUAGGCUGCCCCAGGGCGGAGGCACUAGAGGCGGCAAGAGCGGGUCCGGGGAGAUGUGCUCUGGGGUUGGAAAAAGCGAAAAUGAAAAGAAAAAUCGUACGAGAAAGCAUGAGAUGGGGAAGAACAGCACAAUUGAUAGUCAGCAACUGCACAGAAGAGAACACAGGCUUUGCUUCAACAUGAGCAAAGUCUCUGCGCAUCCAACCCCAAAGGUCUGACCUGCCUUGCCCAGCCGACAGCCGCUGAGGGAGUAGCUGGACUCAGCUGAGGGAGUAGCUGGACUCAGCUGAGGGAGUAGCUGGACUCAGCUGAGGGAGUAGCUGGACUCAGCUGAGGGAGUAGCUGGACUCAGAGAGUGCUGCUCCAGUGCUGCUCCAGUGCUUUUAGCAUCUUGUCUAACAAGGCACCCAGUCUCCCCCGUGGGGGGGGGGGGCGGGGGGCAGUGAACUUUGAUGAGGGGCUGUGGAACACAGACUUCUGAACUAGACUGUUUGGGCUUCACUGCUAGCUCUAACAUGUGCUGCUGCAUAGUGAGAGUUAGCCCCCUGCCUCUGGUUCAUACUGCAGCUGGCUGUUGUGAGAGUAAAAUGCCGCAAAUCACUGAUUUCAGAGUGUCUGCCACUCAGACCAGGCUGGCCUUGGACUCAGACAUCCAUCUGCCUCAGAUUUCUGAAUACUGCGAUUAAAAGCGUGUGCAGCCA